rnacentral:misc_RNA from 1 species
GACGUACUCCAUAAAGUUAUUCGAUUUCAACAUGGCAAAAUACGGCCGGCAAAGCGUUCCAGAGUUAAGUUUUCAUAAUCCAGCAGGAAUGAUUCUGUAUCCUAGAGGUUUACAGACAUAUGCUAUGGGGAAUACGAGGGCCAGAGACGUAACAGAACUACUGGGGACCUCGAGAGGACAACAUCUAGAUUUGCUGCUGCUAGGUUCUGGCGAUAUAAGGAAUUUUUUGUUUACUUUAUCCGAGCUAUCUAUACGGAAACCUCAUGAGAGUCCAAAAAGUUUAAGUUUCCAUAUAAACGACUACGAUCCAUCGGUGAUUGCUCGCAAUGCUGUCCUCAUACAAGUCGCUAGUGAAAUAAAUCCGGAUAUCCCAGCGGAUGUAGACUUCUUGUGGAAUAUCUGGUAUAAUCUGGCUCUUUCCCACGACAACUUUUAUCGACUGCAACAAGUACUAUGUGGAUUAAUCGAAAAAAAAUUUGACAGCGCAGAGAGCAUAUUGAAGUUCGAAGACAUCGCUAUUCUCCGGGAAUGUUGUGCUAUUUGGAAGGAUUGGAUGGCUCUUGAUCUUGACGUGAGUAAAGUUAAAGGCGAUAGAAACAGACUGAUUAAAAGUAAAAUGCAAGAACUCAAAUUUGACGUGGAUGAUCAAUGUGACGGUGUACUAUCAGAGAUGAUGAUGGGACUUAGCCAAGAAGCAGACAUACAAUUUUUAAAGCCAACCCAUGCGAAUCCAUUCUUUACGGAAAUAAAGCACUGGUUUUGCGAAGGUUCCACUUCGUAUGAAUUCGAAAGGACAAAUCCAACCUUGAUUCGUCCAUUUAAUCAUGAAUGGAGAUUACAUUAUAAUUCUUGUGUGUUUGAAAGUUACUUGCCAAUCGAAGGGGACCAGCUCUUACGAUGUAAAUCUCUGACAGCAGCUUGCAAAGAAAAUUUAAAAUUGAUGCUGAAAGGUUUCCAGCGGCAAAGGGAGAAUAAUCAAGCAACUUUGAAGGUUACUCUGUGGACAGGCGAUGCACUUGCUUUGUGUACGAGUGGCUUUCCUCCAAAGAUGUUAUUUGACGUUAUUGAUACCAGUAAUGUCUCUGAUCACAUUGGUUUGCUGAAUGUUCUUGUUAGCUGCGCCCCGAGAUUGAAAAAACCAAACAGAUCUCUCAUGUUUACAUCAAGCAUGCUGUGGGGCGGAGGUUGUGAAAGUGUGGAGGAGUAUUACAACAAAUGUGUGGGUGUUCCUUUCCAACUUCUUCCCACUGUUCUGGGCUUAAAACUAGCUGUCGACAUUGAAUUAGGAAGCAGAAAACUUCCGGACAGAAUGGAAACUUCAGAGGAGAUUCUUUGCUGGGUGAAGGCAGACAUUAAGAGGACUCUGUUGACAAUAGACAAAGCCAGUGACAUUGUUGAAGGCCUUUUUCGGCUCGCUGAACGGUGCUAUGAUUUGCUGAAUGAACAAACAAAACCACUGGUAGAUGGACAGCACUUCCUUGCGAGUCAGGUGUAUGGCGUAACCUUGUCGUCACCUCUUACACUCCUUCGAAUUAUUCAUCAGAUACAACCAGUUGUUAAAGGAGGAGCCGACCGAAUAUUUGAACUUAUCGAAACUCUUCUGCCACCUGAUUUCCACCAAAAGCAUGGUCUGUCUUGGAAUUUUCUCAAAGCAUCGCUUGGGAAUGAACGAGGGCCUGUAGUUGAAAUAAAGGUUAACUGUAACAUAACGGUAGCCUCUUGGUACAAGGGAACACCAAUUCCGAUGAUUUGCUUUCUGAAAUCAAGCCUGAUUCAUCAGGCUAAGGCACAGAUGCUCUCUGGUCAGGCAAUAUGCACUGAAACGACGUUUCCAUCAAUUUAUAACAGCUUACGUUACGAUGACCAAGCCAACAUUGUGACUUUCCAUAUUAGUGAGGAGGACUGGCACGAGUUGGAGUCAAAUGCGUUCAUGUGGAUAACCUCGAGUGACAUGAACCCUGUCAUAAAUCGUGACCUAUUGUUUCUCGGAGGGGAAACCAUUGAAAGAAACCAACGCGUUGAUCCGGUCGAGAUAUUUGGCUUAUUUUCAGUGCAGGCUUUUACUGUGAUCGAAACAAAUGCGAACUGCCAAGUACUGAAGAUCCACAAAGUCGAGGAGAGUAAGUUCUCAUACUAUGCAGAACUUGACAUACUGGAAUUAGAACAAUGCAAAGUCAGCACAAUGAAGAUUAGCUUUUCUCCACCUAAAUGUCCGGUUGAACUCCAAAUACACUUCGAAGGAGCUACAGGAGAUCCGCUGCAGAUAUACUUUUCAUGUUCUGUGAAUGAGAACUUGGCCAAGUUUCAGAUUUCACGCAAGCGCAAAAAAGUUCUUUGUCACAUUCCUAAAAGAGAAGAUGGAACAGUGGGAGAACUUGUGAUACAGAACGUGGCUCCAGUUCCCUUUCAUACCAUGAUAUUAUGGGAUGGCAAACAGCAUGACAAAAAAAUGUUCAGAAAAAUGUUUCGCACAAAACUUGAUGUUGAGCUGAAGUCUCAAGUAAAAAGUGGUUCGCCGUUUUUUAACCUCAGGGAAUCCAUAACCAUGAUCUUGAGCAAACAUUCAGACGAACCUAGGACGCCAUUAGUGCAUGUUGUUGAUGAGCUUGGAAUCAUUGAGAAGCCUUACCAAACACAGGAAAACAUGUUAAAGAAAAAGGGCUUUGUUAUCAAAGUACAGGAAAUGUACAAAUGGAAGUUUCUUCCCGUUGCGAAAGUUGCAUUCUGUGAUUGUCAAAGGUUGGCUGACAAGCUUCAAAGUGAUCCAACAGACAACCAUCCAAUGGCGAAUUUCUUUUCCAACACCUGGUUACACUUGGUGCAUAGAAUCUUGGCUGACGGAGAAGACCCUAUUUCAUAAAAUGCUCUACACAAAUGCCACAAGAGUAGAUCAGGAUAAUGCAUCUAGUGUUUGGAAGAAUUCCUUUAUUACUCUUUUAUUCCCUAGACAAAGAACUCUUGACUUGUUUGCUGGAUUGUUAAAAGGACAAAUGAAAGACCUUUUUAACCCGUGUUCGUUUCCUAAUCAAGCAAGACAGCCCGAAGAGCACUCCACCCGAGACAGUUUCCCUGCAUUCUUAGCGGACUUUGCACGCCAAAUGGCUCAUUUUAAC